AACGCCGCCAUCUUUUCUGGGCCCAAGAUCAUCUAGGACGGACUGAUGAAAAAUGGAAAUGUUUUUUGUGGUCCGAUAAGUCAAAAUUUCUAAUUAUUUUGGGAAAUUGUGAAAGUUUUCUCAUCCUCACCAAAGAGCAAAAGAACCAUGGACACAAAGUUAAAAAAAAACAACAUCUGUGGUGGUAUGGGCUCAGUACGAGUUCAUGAAAAGCCUGAUUGGAAGGAGGGACUCAGCGUGCACUUAUAAAAGAUGAUUUUUAAGGACAUUCCAUGCUUCAUGUAAAAAUGUUAACAUUGUUUAAUGUCACACAACUACAAGUUAUCAUCACCAGAAAGGUCGACAUCCAUAAUUAUAUCCCCUUCCUCAUCUGAAAAUAUCACAAUAAAAGCC